rnacentral:tRNA from 1 species
AGACCAGUAGUUUACACAAAGAACAUUAACUUUGGGAGUUAAAAGAGACCUUAAAGGCCCUAGUCUA